rnacentral:rRNA from 1 species
AGAUUGAACGCUGGCGGCAUGCCUUACACAUGCAAGUCGAACGGCAGCACGGGAGCAAUCCUGGUGGCGAGUGGCGAACGGGUGAGUAAUACAUCGGAACGUGCCCAGUUGUGGGGGAUAGCCCGGCGAAAGCCGGAUUAAUACCGCAUACGACCUACGGGUGAAAGCGGGGGAUCGCAAGACCUCGCGCUAUUGGAGCGGCCGAUGUCGGAUUAGCUUGUUGGUAGGUAAAAGCCUACCAAGGCUACGAUCCGUAGCUGGUCUGAGAGGACGACCAGCCACACUGGGACUGAGACACGGCCCAGACUCCUACGGGAGGCANCAGUGGGGAAUUUUGGACAAUGGGCGAAAGCCUGAUCCAGCCAUGCCGCGUGCGGGAAGAAGGCCUU